rnacentral:rRNA from 1 species
AACGCUGGCGGCGUGCUUAACACAUGCAAGUCGAACGAACCUUCGGGUUAGUGGCGGACGGGUGAGUAACGCGUGAGAAUCUGCCCUCAGGAGGGGGAUAACGGUUGGAAACGACCGCUAAUACCCCAUAUGCCUACUGGUGAAAUGAAUUUCGCCUGAGGAUGAGCUCGCGUCUGAUUAGCUAGUUGGUGAGGUAAUGGCUCACCAAGGCUUCGAUCAGUAGCUGGUCUGAGAGGAUGAUCAGCCACACUGGGACUGAGACACGGCCCAGACUCCUACGGGAGGCAGCAGUGGGGAAUUUUCCGCAAUGGGCGAAAGCCUGACGGAGCAACGCCGCGUGAGGGACGAAGGCCUCUGGGCUGUAAACCUCUUUUCUCAAGGAAGAAGAUAUGACGGUACUGAGGAAUAAGCCACGGCUAAUUCCGUGCC